AUUGAACGCUGGCGGCAGGCCUAACACAUGCAAGUCGAGCGGAUGAAGGGAGCUUGCUCCUGGAUUCAGCGGCGGACGGGUGAGUAAUGCCUAGGAAUCUGCCUGGUAGUGGGGGAAACGUUCGGAAACGGGCCCCUAUUACGCAAAAGUCCCGAGGGAGAAAGGGGGGGAAUUUUCGACCCCAAGCCUAUAAGAUAGCCUAGGUCGGAUUAGCUAGUUGGUGGGGUAAAGGCCUACCAAGGCGACGAUCCGUAACUGGUCUGAGAGGAUGAUCAGUCACACUGGAACUGAGACACGGUCCAGACUCCUACGGGAGGCAGCAGUGGGGAAUAUUGGACAAUGGGCGAAAGCCUGAUCCAGCCAUGCCGCGUGUGUGAAGAAGGUCUUCGGAUUGUAAAGCACUUUAAGUUGGGAGGAAGGGCAGUAAGUUAAUACCUUGCUGUUUUGACGUUACCAACAGAAUAAGCACCGGCUAACUUCGUG
rnacentral:rRNA from 1 species